GACGUAGGGUCCGAGCGUUGUCCGGAAUUACUGGGCGUAAAGAGCUCGUAGGUGGUUUGUCGCGUUGUUCGUGAAAACUCACAGCUCAACUGUGGGCGUGCGGGCGAUACGGGCAGACUUGAGUACUGCAGGGGAGACUGGAAUUCCUGGUGUAGCGGUGGAAUGCGCAGAUAUCAGGAGGAACACCGGUGGCGAAGGCGGGUCUCUGGGCAGUAACUGACGCUGAGGAGCGAAAGCGUGGGGAGCGAACAGG
rnacentral:rRNA from 1 species